GUCUACUGCGCUACCACCCUGAAUGCGCCUGUUCUCGUCCAAUCGGAAGUUAAGCAGGUGGGGCCUGGCUAGUACUUGGAUGGGAGACCACCGGGGAAUACCCGGUGCUGUAGGCU
ensembl:rRNA 5S_rRNA 5S ribosomal RNA